CAAAAACAGGUCGACUAUAAAACCAACAACUCUGACGGUGGUGAGGGCGGCAGUUUGUGGAACGUUUUGUCCGAAAAGUGUCUGUUAUUUCGUCAACUUAAAAAAAAACACACAACAACAACAACAACAACCGUUGAACCGUUGAAAUCUCUGGGGACAACGUGGAAAAGGACUGUUGUGUGUGUAUCCUCCUGCAGUUGGACUCCUGAGGAGAGCAACAGGGGGAAUCUGCAGCUCAGAGAAAGGCCACUGUAUUGCAGGAUAUCUGCAGCCUCCGCUGUCAGUGUGAGGAUUCAGAUUGCUAUCGGCUCGGAAUACAAAAGAUCUGUGAGCUACUUUGAAUACAAAUCACAAGAAGUGUGAACGGCAGCGAAGGGGGCUCUUCAGUGAAGAAUGGCUAUUGAAAUGAGGCAGAAGAAUGCCAGAGAGAUAAAGAGAAGAAUGAACAGCGCUGUUCAGUCAACACCAAGUCCUCCAGUUCCAACUCAUCCCAGGCCCCCUCAGCAAGUCAGCACGGGAUCAUUUUUCAUAAUGAUACCUCUGUUCAAAUAUCACCUACUUUUCUGUCUUUUAAAAAAAAAAAAAAUCCAGCCUUUGUUGUAGAAGCUGACUUUGGGUGUUGCCCAGGCACACAGAGUUUUUGGGUAACUUAAAUACCAUUAAUCUCUUAAAGGUAAUCUCUUGUCUGAGCGCUGAAAAGUGGUUUGUGUAAAAGAACUGUAUGUGCUUGCCAAGCUAUUGUAGACAGAAAUUUGUGGGAGUGAGACAGUUUUUUGUUAUAUUUGUAUAUUUGUAGUGCUCUUUUUCACUGGCAGUUUGAUUUAGAGCAUCAAAACAUCCUCUACUUACUAAAGUAGUGUUUGUUUCAUCUCAUAUCGCAACCCCAUUACUAUUAUUCACACUG